AAGAACGGAUCAGAUUUGACACAUAAAAAAAUUGAGAAUGACACAGAAGGAAUGGAUGAGGACUCUGUGAGUGAUCUGAGUUUUGAUUCCAGCGAGGAUGAAAUGUUUUUGGAAGAAGAAGAUCCACUUUCCGAUCAUGGCACUGACCCCAACUGGGAGCCCCCAGUGCCAACUUGUCCAUCCCCCUCUGAAGCUGGUUCAUCCUCUGGCUCCACACCUCCGGGCCGUCUAGAGGACCGACAAAGAAGCGGAA